CCUACGGGAGGCAGCAGUGGGGGAUAUUGCACAAUGGGGGGAACCCUGAUGCAGCGACGCCGCGUGUGGGAAGACGGUCCUCUGGAUUGUAAACCACUGUCCCCAGGGACGAAAAUGACGGUACCUGGGGAGGAAGCUCCUGCUAACUACGUGCCAGCAGCCGCGGUAAUACGUAGGUGGCAAGCGUUAUCCGGAUUUACUGGGUGUAAAGGGCGUGUAGGCGGGAGUGCAAGUCAGAUGUGAAAACUAUGGGCUCAACCCAUAGCCUGCAUUUGAAACUGGACUUCUUGAGUGCUGGAGAGGCAGUCGGAAUUCCGGGUGUAGCGGUGAAAUGCGUAGAGAUACGGAGGAACACCAGUGGCGAAGGCGGAUUGCUGGACAGUAACUGACGCUGAGGCGCGAAAGCGUGGGGAGCAAACAGGAUUAGAUACCCUUGUAGUC
rnacentral:rRNA from 1 species